CUACAAAAUAUCCAACAAACUUUUAUUCAAAUCUGAAAAAUUAAUGACACUAAAAACAUACAUAUUGAAACAGCACUACCGAGAGAAGAUUAUCGUGUUGGUGGGCGUCAGUGGCGGAGAGCAGAAUCGCAACAAACUCGGUGGUGAGCAAGGAGGAGGCCGGACAGCAAACAGUGGCGAGCUUCAACGGCCGUGCUAACGAUGGUUGGAGUCGUUGUAUCAUGGUGGAGGGAGACAUGAGGGGAACGCGCCCGCUGGGUUGAGGAGGGCGACGCGAGGGGAGCUUGGUGCGAUGGAUGAUGGCAGCAUGAAGGAGGAAGCGGGGAUGCCGGUGCUAAAAGGAAAAAAGAAGAAGAACGGCGCUGAGAGGAGAUUAGAAUUAGGGAUGCCAUUUAUGUUGAGCUAAACUGGAAUUUGCUGAGAUUUUGGAUGUCGACCCUGCCAUCAUUCUUCCGAUUGCAUCCCUGACCACCACUACCGUAACUCCAUCUCUAGUGGUUACUCGAUAUGCUACAUCAAUAUGUGCUUUCACCCAAGACUCUGGUGGAGGAUUCCAGGACAUCCUGAGUUCUUCUCACCUCCCCGUCGUCUCAAUAGCUGUUCACCAUCGAAGAGCUCCAGUUGAAGCCAAGUCCCGGUCGCCGUCAUCGGACCCACCGUGAGCAGUUAAAUACGUGGCUAAGCUUGAAGAUGGGACGGUUGUUCUGAAAUCUGAUGGGGUGGAAUUCACGGUGGAAGAAGGUCAGUCAUCGAGUUUGUGCUCAAGUUAUUUCUGUCCUGCAUUGGCCAAGGCUGUGAAGACAAUGAAGAAGGGAGAGAGAGUCAUCUUGACCGUGAAGCCAGAAUGUGAAUGCGUUUGGUGAGAAUGGAAGGCCAGCAUCAGGUGAUGAAGGUGCCGUGCCUUGGAAUGCUUCUCUGCAAAUUGAUCUCGAGUUGGUAUCUUGGAAGGCUGUAUGUGACAUAACCAAGGAUAAGAAGGUUCUCAAGAAGACCCUGAAGGAGGGAGAGGGAUAUGAAGUAUGAACGUCCCAAUGAUGGAGCUGUGGUUCAAGUGAAACUUAUUGGUAAGCUGCAAGAUGGGACUGUUUUCGUGAAGAAGGGUCAUGAUGAUGAGCAGCCAUUUGAGUUCAAAAUUGACGAGGAGUAAGUGAUUGAUGGACUUGAUAAGGCUGUAAUGAACAUGAAGAAAGCGGAAGUUGCAUUGGUGACCAUAAAUCCUGAAUACGCUUUUGGCUCAUCUGGGUCAACUCAGAACAGUACAUUAGUGCAAUCCAUUCUCAAGUAGAAUGAGUGGUGAUUGUCUCGAGUUGUGAAGUCACGUGUAUUUGAGUAUGCGGUCUAAGAUUUUGUUUGGGAACUUAGGAUGAUUUAAAUAUGCACAAAAUCCAAGUACUUAUUAGGUGAAACUUUUUAAUGCUUGUUAAGUAUGCACAAGUUAUUAUUAGACUAUGAUAUGAAACCAAUUAUUAAUGCUUUGUAAAUUUAUAUUGAUGAGUUCAACAUGCCAAAUUUAUGGUUUCAUACC